GAACGGAGAGAGAUGGAAGCUUGCUUCUAUCGAUCUUAGUGGCGAACGGGUGAGUAACGCGUAACCAACCUGCCCUUCAGAGGGGGAUAACAACGGGAAACCGUUGCUAAUACCGCGUACGAAUGAACUUCGGCAUCGGAGCUCAUUGAAAGGUGGCCUCUAUUUAUAAGCUAUCGCUGAAGGAGGGGGUUGCGUCUGAUUAGCUAGUUGGAGGGGUAACGGCCCACCAAGGCAAUGAUCAGUAGCCGGUCUGAGAGGAUGAACGGCCACAUUGGGACUGAGACACGGCCCAAACUCCUACGGGAGGCAGCAGUGGGGAAUCUUCCGCAAUGGACGAAAGUCUGACGGAGCAACGCCGCGUGAGUGAUGACGGCCUUCGGGUUGUAAAGCUCUGUUAAUCGGGACGAAUGGUCCUUGUGUGAAUAAUGCAAGGAUUUGACGGUACCGGAAUAGAAAGCCACGGCUAACUACGUGCCAGCAGCCGCGGUAAUACGUAGGUGGCAAGCGUUGUCCGGAAUUAUUGGGCGUAAAGCGCGCGCAGGCGGUUUCAUAAGUCUGUCUUAAAAGUGCGGGGCUUAACCCCGUGAGGGGAUGGAAACUAUGGAACUGGAGUAUCGGAGAGGAAAGCGGAAUUCCUAGUGUAGCGGUGAAAUGCGUAGAUAUUAGGAAGAACACCAGUGGCGAAGGCGGCUUUCUGGACGACAACUGACGCUGAGGCGCGAAAGC
rnacentral:rRNA from 1 species